rnacentral:rRNA from 1 species
CCUACGGGGGGCAGCAGUGGGGAAUAUUGGACAAUGGGGGCAACCCUGAUCCAGCCAUGCCGCGUGUGUGAAGAAGGCCCUCGGGUUGUAAAGCACUUUCAGUGAGGAAGAACGCCUUGUGGUUAAUACCCAUCAGGAAAGACAUCACUCACAGAAGAAGCACCGGCUAACUCCGUGCCAGCAGCCGCGGUAAUACGGAGGGUGCGAGCGUUAAUCGGAAUUACUGGGCGUAAAGCGCGCGUAGGUGGCUUGAUAAGCCGGUUGUGAAAGCCCCGGGCUCAACCUGGGAACGGCAUCCGGAACUGUCAAGCUAGAGUGCAGGAGAGGCAAGUAGAAUUCCCGGUGUAGCGGUGAAAUGCGUAGAGAUCGGGAGGAAUACCAGUGGCGAAGGCGGCUUUCUGGACUGACACUGACGCUGAGGUGCGAAAGCGUGGGUAGCAAACAGGAUUAGAUACCCUGGUAGUC